UGGAUCAGGGGUGACUACUGGUGGUGUAUGAAUCAUAUAUGAUGAAUACAUGUCUGCAACUAUGUCCAG